CAUGAUGAAAAGUGCAAAGUCUCCUUAAUUCUGUAUAUGGCUUUCUUAUCUGUCUUUCUCACUGUAACUAUGAACUACAAUAAGCUUACUUACUGGGGUUUUGUCGAGACGCUCAAAGUUCGUGUUUCAAAGUCUGUUGACAGCCUGUGUGAGCAGUGACUGUUUUGGCACUCGAGUGGAAGAAAAUAGAGAGAUUUAAAUGGAAGUGUCUGUAUAUAUUAAGAACUGCUAUACUUUAAAACUUCUUUUCCCCUGCAGUAGAAUAAGUUGUACCUAAUGCUGCAGCUCGCUUCUGGUACAGCACAGCAUCUUGUGGAGUAUUGUGAGUGCAGAAUCAAAGGCAGCAGUUUGUGAUGUGUAAGGCUUCCAGUGCAGAGUUAUACAGCAGAUGUAUUGAAGCAAUCCAGAAAGUGCCCCAGCGUGCCAUACAAAGGCUUGUAAUAAAUCUCUAUCGAACGGCCCACGUAAGAGAAAAACACUGCUGUAACCUGCUUUCUCAUUUUUUUUUGUAAGGCUCACUUUCUUUAAUGGUAUCUCUCUGAAACGAAGUCUGUUCUUCUGUUACGAGUUAGCAGUCGUGGACAAGGUGCUAGUCUGAUCCCCGUGUCUUUUGGCAAUGUAAGACUACCAGUAUUAGUGUUAGUUGCUGAAGCCUGUAAGACAGGAGUGAAUGUUUGGUGUAUUUGUGAGUGGAGAAAGUAUUUCUAACUUCUGUUGGUUACAAAAUUAUACCGAGUGCACAGUCAGAAUGUGCGAUUCUGAGGCGAUCUGUGAGCACCCUCAGAUGGAUGAAUAGCUCAGCUCUGCGUUGCUGAAACGUCAGCAUGUAUCACUACCUGUAGCAAACGUUGCAGAUGCGAAUGGAUGUUUUUGGUAUGUGCUGUUUUCCUUUUCCCUUUAUUUCGGUGAUACUGGCAGCAUGUAAAUACAGCAACUCUUUUUCCAUUGAUCAUUUCUACAUUUCCAGUUGGUUUUGACUAUUCUUGAAAGUCAUGCUUCCUGCUUAAAUCAAAGAAUAUUGUAACUGG
rnacentral:lncRNA from 7 species